AAUGUAACAAAUUACUUUGAAAUGACAGUAAUAAGUAAUGCUUAAUACAUUUCGAUUUUGCAGUAACUUGCCCAACACUGCUCAAAUGUAUGA